CCAAUGCAUGCUUUUACAGUAUGAAAAUUGGUGAUUUAUAAUAACUUAGCAAAUCGCAAAGUGAAAACAGGCGAUAAAUCAUUCAAGUUUCUGACCUAUCAGCUUUCGACGGUAUGGUAUUGGCUUACCGUGGCAGUGACGGUUAACGGGGGAUUAGGGUUCGAUUCCGGAGAGGGAGCCUGAGAAACGGCUACCACAUCUAAGGAAGGCAGCAGGCGCGCAAAUUACCCAAUUCUAACAGUUUGAGAGAGGUAGUAACAAGAAAUAACAAUACAAGGCAGUUAAAAUGCUUUGUAAUUGGAAUGAUAGAAAUUUAAACCCUUUUUAAAGUAUCAAUUGGAGGGCAAGUCUGGUGCCAGCAGCCGCGGUAAUUCCAGCUCCAAUAGCGUAUAUUAAAAUUGUUGCAGUUAAAAAGCUCGUAGUUGAAGUUCUGCUAAAAGUAACCGGUCUGCUUUGAAUAAAAGUGGUAUCUUGGUAUGUAUUUAGCAAUGAUGUCCUUUGAAGUGUUUUUUACUUUAUUGUAAUAAAGCAUAUUCAGGACUUUUACUUUGAGAAAAUUAGAGUGUUUCUAGCAGGCCAACGCUUUGAAUACUGCAGCAUGGAAUAAUAA
rnacentral:rRNA from 1 species